rnacentral:rRNA from 1 species
GACGAACGCUGGCGGCGUGCCUAAUACAUGCAAGUCGAACGCAGUGGGGACGGGUGAGUAACACGUGGGUAACCUCCCAUCAGAGGGGAUAACACUUGGAAACAGGUGCUAAACCGAUACUGAUGGAUGGACCCGCGGUGCAUUAGCUAGUUGGUGAGGUAACGGCUCCCCAAGGCCACGAUGAAUAGCCGACCUGAUAGGGGGAUCGGCCACACUGGGACUUAGACACGGUCCAGACUCCUACGGGAGGCAGAAGUGGGGAAUAUUGGACAAUGGGCGCAAGCAUGAUGCAGCAAUGCCGCGUGAAUGAAGAAGGCCUUCGGGUUGUAAAGUACUGUCAGCGGGGAGGCGUUACCCGCAGAAGAAGCACCGGCUAACUACGUGCCAGCAGCCGCGGUAAUUC